rnacentral:lncRNA from 1 species
CACAUCACAUGCCCACAAUGGAACGCACGCAAAGGGCAAACUCCUCUUCACCUCUUGCAUGAACAAAUCACAAAGAAAUUGCUUCAUCUACAAACAGAGAGAUCAACAUAAGCUAUAAUUCUGGGGAAAAAACAUACAGGAUACCAACAAGGAAUAAACAUGGGAAAGACAAUAAAAAUUUCAGAAAACAUACGAUGUAGGAACCUAGUAAUUUCCAGUGUAAAUCCCCAUGUAACUAUACUUGUAAAACACAAAAUACCUAAAAUUUCCAGUGUAAAAUAAACUGUAACUACUGGAAAUUACAGUACCAGUAAAUCCUAGAAAAUUACAGUGCGAAUCCUAGAAAUUUACAGUGCAAAAACCAGUGAAAAUGGAGACAAAAGAUGCAAUUACGCUGUAAAUACCCAGUAAAUUCCAGAGCAAAUUAAACUGUAGGUGCCUAGUCUGUAAAUCCUAGCAAAUGACAGUGUAAAUCAUAGAGAAUUACAGUGCAGAAACCGGUGUAAACAAGACAAAAGAUUACUGUCAACCCACUAAAUUCUAGUGUAAAUUAAAUCCUGUCACCUAGUAAAAAUUCCACUAUAAAUCCUAGGAAAUUACAGUGAAAUUACACUGCAAUUACAGUGUAAAUUAAACCCACUAAAUUCUAGUGUAAAUUAAAUCCUGUCACCUAGUAAAAAUUCCACUGUAAAUCCUAGGAAAUUACAGUGAAAUUACACUGCAAUUACAGUGUAAAUUAAACCCAGUAAAUCCUAGAAAAUUACAGUGUAAAUAAAAAGUUACAGUGCAAAAACUGGUGUAAGCAUGGAGACAAAAGACAAUUACACUGUAAAUACCCAGUAAAUUCCAGUGUAAACUAAGGGUACCUAGUAAGAAUUCCAUUGUAAAUCCUAGAAAAUUACAGUGAAAACUGGUGUGGUUUACUUUAAUUUAUAGGGGAUUUCCACUGUAAAUCCUAGAAAAUUACAGUGUAAUUACAAUGCAAUUACAGUGCAAAUUAAACCCACUAAAUCCUAAAAUAUUACAGUGUAAAUCAUAGAAAGUUACAGUGCAAAAAAAGGUGUAAACAUGGAGACAAAAGACAGCUACACUGUAAACACCCAAAUAAUUACACUGUAACUCAACAAAACUAAAGUAAUUACACUGUAAGUACCUAGCAAUUUCCAAAUGUAAAAACUCAAGAAAACUAAAGUAAUUACACUGUAAGUACCUAGUAAUUACACCGUAAGCGCAAAAUACAACCUACAGAAUACAUUCAAGCUUGAUUGUGAUUAUGCUAACACUAACAUUCUGCUUACAUCUAUUUCUAUAAGCUUUGCUGCCGAUGAUUAUGCUAGCACCGACAUUCUACUUUUCAAAAUGUGUCACGAGAGGAGCAUGAUGAGGACAAUAACUGACUACGAUCUCCUGAGAUUGACACAGGAAGAACUCAUAUUAAAUGUGAGAUACAGUACCUAAAACUUUGCAAAGAUGAUUAAAAUACAUUAAAAGGUAAAAGGCUAACAAAAUUAUGAUGCAAGAAUCAUUUUCUUUCACUGCACUCCUUCAUUCCGACAUUAUAUACAAGGUAUAAAAUCAAAAAUCUCAAUUAACCGCUGCAAAAAAUACCUAAAUGUCUUAAACUUAAACUUGUGAUGAACCUUGCAGGUACAUUCGGGAGAUGGAUCUACGAGCAUUUGGGAAACUAUGGAGAAAAACUACAGGAGCAAAGUAGAGGACUGUUUCAUCACAACAAGAGAUAACAAAUGUAAGGAAAACAACAACUGAAUAACUAUUACAAACAAAUGGCGAAGGAAACGCACUAACAAUCAUUAAACCUACCUUGCAGACAUCGGAGCUAGACUUGCAUCAUGAAGAGGCAGCGAAGCGAAGAUGGUGGAGGAGAAUCUAAUCCCUGGGACACAAACCUGUUCUACAACAUGAAUCUGCAACAGGUACAGACAACAAUUUUCAGCUGAGAAACAUAAAAGGAGAAACAUUUUAGAAAAAAACUAAAAGAAAUCGCUAUCCCAGUAUAGCAGCAGCUAAAAUGAACUGAAGCACAUGCCAUAGCAAUGAAGAAGGAGAAAGAAAAGAACCAGAAGACUCAAAUUGGGGAUUUGCCGCUCGACUUGAGGAGAUGGAUUGUCAACAACAGUUUCAAAGUUCCUCCCAGCAAUGAAAGAGUGAAUAGAAAAUAGACUUAGUGCCUGCAAAAGUACAAAGAAACAACAUGCGCAAGAACAAAUAAAUAAGAUCAUACAAGAAAGAAUACAUAAAUCAGAGAAUAGAAACAAAAAAAUAACUUCAAGAAGGAACUAAUCAAAAGAGAACUUAUACAGAGAACGAACCUCACUUGUAGGAACAGAUUUGACAUUCAGAGAUGAGUGUGAUAAGAAAUCUAGAACAUCAAUUAUAAGGGACUGUGACCAUUCAAUAAAUAGCUUGUGCUUGUCUUUGUCCCUAGCUUGAAAAAGGUCUAUAACUACCUGGGCAGCCUGAAAAAAAAUCAGUAAAACAACAAAAAUAAUCAACCGAGCAAUAAAAGGCAAGAGCACAAAACAAGCACCAAAGGAUUUCUGCACAUUCAUUUCAAAAAGCAAGUCACUGCAAGGGGGAACAUCACCAUCUUUGCUUGCUGAAGAUUUCUCAAUAGAUUGCUACAACAAGAAGCAAUCCAAACAAAUCACACGAGAAAACAUUACAGGUAAAUUACAGUGAAAAAUUGGGACAACUUACACUGCAAUAUUGAGAUAAAUUACACUGUAAAUCCUUACAGUGAAAUGCUGAAACAAAUUACAGUGCAAUACUGAGAUAAAUUACAUAGUAAAUCCUUACACUGCAAAGCUGAGACAAACUACACUGAAAUUACAUUCAAAAAGAUACUGUCAAGCCAAACCAAUCAACUAACAAAUUACAGACGAAAUACCAAGUAAAUUACACUGAAAGGCUAAGACAAAAUACACUGAAAUUAAACUCAAAAUCAUACCUCUAGAAGUACAUAAACAUGUACCAGGGGGAACUAAACAGCUACAUCUAACAACAAAAAAUCAGCAGUCGAAAUCAGGGACUACAAAGAGCUUCACAUGAGCAAGUAGCAUCAGGACAUGAGCAGGUAGCAUCACUGAAAGAGCUAGGAAUCUACAGAAUUCUCGCGUACAGGCACAUGAGCAAAACAUAAGCAGGAGAAAUCCCGCAGGCUACUGGUACAUCUAUAGAAACCCCCAUGCUACAUCUACAGAAUCCUACAUGCUACAUCUACACAAACAAGGGGAAACCCCACUGCAUCUACAAACUACAACAGUAGCCCACCAGAGACAACCACAACAACCACAAAACCUAGAAAUCACACCUACCAGCGACUACAUCAGAAGGCGAGAGGGUGACAUGAACUGACCUAGAUUUGGAACAAACACAAGCAGAACAUCAUACUCGACAGAGCGACAGAGAGGAAUAACCAACCGCGACACCGGGGAGCGAAUAGAAAGGGGACAGAAAUGAAGCUCGAGCGUUGGAAGUUCACGAAAUCGCCAUG